rnacentral:misc_RNA from 1 species
CCAAUAGCGUAUAUUAAAGUUGUUGCAGUUAAAAAGCUCGUAGUUGAAUUUCGGGGUUAGUAGGCUGGUCGUGCCACUGGUAUGUACUGGUCUUACUGACUUCUCCUUUCUGAAGAACUGUAAUGCCAUUAAUUUGGUGUUGCAGGGAAUCAGGACUGUUACUUUGAAAAACUUAGAGUGUUUAAAGCAGGCUUACGCUUGAAUACAUUAGCAUGGAAUAAUGAAAUAGGACGUUCGAUCCUAUUUUGUUGGUUGCUAGGAUUGACGUAAUGAUUAAUAGGGAUAGUUGGGGGCAUUAGUAUUCAAUUGUCAGAGGUGAAAUUCUUGGAUUUAUUGAAGACUAACUACUGCGAAAGCAUUUGCCAAGGAUGUUUUCAUUAAUCAAGAACGAAAGUUAGGGGAUCGAAGACGAUCAGAUACCGUCGUAGUCUUAACCAUAAAUUAUGCCGACUAGGGAUCGGAUGAUGUUAAUUUUUUAAUGACUCAUUCGGCGCCUUACG